GGUGAGAGCCACCUGGCUGUGACAUCUGUCACCCCAUCGAUCGCUGGGUUGAUUCGGCUGAUCUGGCUGACUAGGCUGGUGUCCCCUUCCUCCCUCGCCACUCCAUGGGCAUCCUGUGCGCUAGGUCGGAGAGGACGACCUUCCCCGAAUAGAGGAGGACCUGUCAAGGGUAUACGAGUAGCUGCGCUCCCCUGCUAGAACCUCCAAACAGGCUCUCGAGCGAUGUGGAGGUGAAUACACCCUUUCCUCCCCAACUUGCUUUUGGUCAUUAUGUUUCAUUGCAGCAAUAGAAACCCCGA
ensembl:misc_RNA 7SK 7SK RNA